CUUAUCCUUGACAAUAUAUGUGACAUAGUCAAACCACUAAUUUAGUGGAAAGAUGAAAAGAUCAUGAGAAAGGAGAUCUAGUUCAUAGUUCGUGGGAGAAUAAAAAGCAACCAAAACCUAAGCAAAGGCCAAGUAGCACAAGACAUUCUACAGUCGUUCCUGGGUGAUGAGUUGUUAUCUUGGAGCCUUCGAAGACCAUUGUAGAGACGAAGGAUGCGUGACAGACUUGGUUCUAGCGUUCUAUAUCAUCAGCUGAAGAAGUGAAUUUUAAUUACAGAUUCAACUCCAUAAGCUUCAGAGGGAAGGAAGGUUGGGUUGUUGGUUGCCAGAGGUUCGUGCCAACUCAUACUUGAUACCUCCGAGGAACGCGUGACACGUCAUCACCGUAAAAGAUCCCACAACAGUGUACAUGGUGGUAAUUUCGACACUGAACUUUUUGAAGAAAUGAUAUAUCUCUAUAUUUAUCAUCUCAUUGUACUUGAUUCUUUGUAUGCAGUGUACAUAUAUAUAAAUUUCCCUUCACUACUGUAAUAUGUUUAUUAUUCAUGCUUAGUUUAAAUCCCCUACAGUACUUGCUGCUAUUUGUUAUAAACGGGUCGAGUUCCUUUUGUGGCCUUUGACUUUCGAUUUAACAUGUUAUUUUAGCAGGUAUAACAGAUAAAGCAACUCAUGUUUACUGCAGCAAGCUGAGUAGUUAGAAAUUGUUAGGGCAUCAAGCUAGCCAAUGAGUAAGUGGCUAUGCAUUUGCCAGUCUUGUGUUUUUAAAAGAGGGUGUGGCAUAACUUUACUCUUUGUAGACAGCCUUAAGGUAAUUCUCUUCAGUCAUGGCACUUUCUUAUUGUGCUACCUCAUACUUGGGCCUUUUGAUGUUUUUUUCGAGGUCUGUAUUUAUUUCUAGAUUUGGGUAUGGACAAAGGAUUGAAAUUACAUAUUUAAGGAUGUUGGUUUUACCCAGAUAUGAUCUAAAUUAUCAGGUUUAAUAGGAUAACGCGUAAUCAUUUUAGUUUUUCCUUUUUUUGGUGGUGUUUAGGAUUUGGAGAAUUUGCGAAUUCAGCUACGAGGUUUAACGUGCAAUGGUUGGAGUUUGAUAAUUCCUAUUUCAAGGUACGUAUAUGUUGAGAGAUAUGAAGCUGGCCAGGAAGCAUGCAUUUAUCAAGGAUUACACUGAAGCCCAUACCAAACUCGACAACCUUGAAGCCACAUUUAUCCCCCCGAGUUCUGUCUUAUUCCCAAAUCUCAUGUAUUGGUUCUCUUUAACAUUUGUAUCUGGUUCUCCUCCUAUAAAAACUUUCCUUUCUUUUGGGGUGGGUGAGGUGUGAGCCUCAUACUAUUUGUAUCUAAAACUUUGUGCCCUCAAACCAUCAAGCCAUAAAUUAUCUUGAAGGCUAAUGUAUUAUAUAUGAAGUACUCCAAAAUACUGCUUAUGUUUUAUUGAUGUAUAUGAAAUACUUUGUAUUUCAUCCAUUCA